AAUUAAAAUAAAAGGUGCACCCAAUUAAUUUGCCGUUUAUUUUGAUCGAUCAGCUGUUCUCAUUCUUUCUUUCCCCUUUUUUCUCUUUCUUUCUUUUUCUUCUCCUUUGGUUUUGACUUUGCCAUCCAAAGAACAUAUAUGAUUUUCUUUUAGUGACAGAGACUAAACAUACCCACUGUUGGUGUUCCCAACUGUUUUCAAGCCAAUGUAUGGUUACUGAAAAUAGUUCUGGGCGUACACCGGAGAAUCAUUUCCGGAGGAACUCUAAAAUUAUGAUAUCACCUCCUUGUCGAAAUUGAGGUAUCCACCGUUGGUGGAUCAGCAAACGUCAAUACAAGCCAUAGAAGACACCGAGCACGUAUUUUUUCACUGCCCUCGAUUUUUGAACGUAAGGGACAAGUUGGAAACUGCACUUGGGGGUAGUUUUACGGUGGAAAACUUGACUGCACUUAUGUGUCAGUCCUCUAAUAAGUGGAAAGCUUUUAGCGACAGCUUCAAUUAUGACAUAACUGAGACAACAGGUAACAGACCUAAGAUUGUCUUGUCACUCCCACGAAGUAAUACUUAAGCCGGUGGUUCCGUGGGAGAGUCUUGAGUUGGGAGUAGGUUAGGUUUUGCGGAUUAAAGUUCCGCACUCAGGCUUUCGAUGCUUCCCCCUACUAUAAAAAAAAACAUAUGUGCUAAGUGUACACAUGUGGUACUCAAUCACUUAUAAACUUGAAAAAAGUACAUAUAAGUUAAUUCUAGCAUUAAAAAUUUAGUCACAAGAAUGAUCGGAGAUGUGUGAUAUAUGUAUGUAUAUAUGAAAAUUCCCUGUAGGGUAAUGGAGGGAAUUAGAGCUUGUUUAUUUUGCAUAUGAUCAACUAACGAUUUUAACAUCUCUCAAUACAUAUUAGGUUAUUUGAUUUUAUAGAGUUACGAGACAAAAUACUACGUAUGUAAAACGUUAAACAAGCUGAAAAUAUCAUAAAAUAAAACACAUACAGGGAAAUACUAUGUAAUAAUUAUUAAAUGUAGGAUUAUGUAACUACAAUUAAUACAAUAAUACAUAUCUGCUACUGUUUUUUUGUUUACAUUUUUUCUACUCAUCGACUGUUGAAUUUUUACUACUUCGUGCAUAUUCUGUACUACAGAAAGGGUAAUAGAGAGACAUUGUUAGAUACAGUGCUGAGAACCAUCAUUAACAAUAUAGAUUUGUGCACAAGAACCAAACUCAUUUUGUGCAACUAGCGCAUUACCCUGCAGGGUAAUUUUGUACACGAGUUGGUCGUUUGUGAGAUCAGUAUCCACUUUCAGAUUUGUUAUAUACAUUCAAAAGAUUGUAUUUUUAAAAUUACAUAAAUUUUGAGUUGACCACCACUAACUAAUUAUCUAACUCAAAACGAGCACUUGACUUUUAAUAUCAUGUCUAUGUAUAUAUGUAUGUGUAUCUAUGUAUAUUAACUUUCUCAAAAUAUAUAAAGAUAUUCAAGUUGUUAGCAUUAAAAGUUGUUUGUAAUAAAAGUAGCUUGCUCUGCAAAAACUAACAAUUUUUAAGUAAUAUAUAUAUGCUGAUUACACAGUUCCAAUAAAACGUUUCUUAUUGACAUCAGAUAUAUACAUUAAAAUAAAAUAUACUCAUGAUUAAACGAAUUUUUGGAAUUAAGUCUCACUUUGCAACCACAUUUAAUUAUUGAUACUAGAAAAUAAAUUUUGUAUCCAUUCAAAUAAGAUAAAACAGUGGUUCAUAUAAUCAUGAAAAUAAAGUUCUGAAUUUAGAAGGUUUGCGAAGGAAAAAAUAAAUUUGGAUAAUAAAAUGGCAAGUUGCAAGUGUCAAAAAUCUUUUCUAACGAAUAAUUUUUGAUUGGGCAUGCCAUUUGCCUGUGGUGAGAACUCAACAAGUCGAUGUUGCUUAAACAUUUUCCCUGUAAGAAUGAACAAGCGAAGAACGAAAAAUGAGCACUUAUAAUCGGAUAAAGCGACAAUGAAAUUAGCCUGCAAUCAGUAAUUACCAAAGCAGAUGUACAUAUGUAUAUGAGGCUAUAUUCUAUAUAUGACAACGGAAGUGCAGAUACCCAGUGAGAACUAAAUGAGAGAUGAUACCCUUUGAUGACAUGGAAUGUCACUUCAAGGUGAGUGGCGCCACGUUCAUUGCCCAAAUUAAAUGCCUCCAGCCUACAGCCGCAGCCGCAGAGUACCGAGGAAAUCAGAAGUACCCGCACAUUUGCCUCAAUAUAUUAAUAACGUAAAAACAAUAAAUUUAACAAAAAAGAUUUGAGAUGGAAAUAAUUACAAAGACAAAUUGAACAAGUUUGGAAAGGCUAAGUUCGGGUGCGACCGAACAUUUUAUACUCUCGCAAUUUAUUGAUGUAAUUUUAUUAAAAUAACACACAAUUUGACCCAUAUAUUCGGCAUAAACUCCAAUAGAAUAACGAAACUCAUCAUAUAUGGAAUAUGAGGGCUGAUGUAAUUCCUAAACCGAUUUCAAUAAUUUUCCUCACCAAGCUACACUAUAUAGAAGACUAUAUGCUCACUUAAUUUUGCUAAGAUAUCUCACAUAUUAACCGAUAUAUGCAGAAUAAAGCCCAUACAUUAUUAGGUAUAUGGGGAAGUUCUGAUCCGAUUUUAAUAAUUUUUGGAACAGAGACACACAAUUAGGAGAAAAUAAUUUCCUCUGAAUUAAAUUAAAAUAUCUGAAAGAUUACCAGUGAUGAAAAAUUACCAUAAGGCACUGAGUUCUUCAUAUUCGAUAUCCAUGGCAUUGAAAGGUAAUAGUCCGAUUUCGACAUUUUUUUCACAAGUGAUGCCACGGAUCAUAUACAGUAUUUGUGGAAACUUUUAUUUCGCUAUCUUCAUUGGUUCCUUAUGUAUAUCUUAUAAAGUGUAGGAAUCAGAUGGAAUUUAAAAUUGAAUUAUAUGGGAAGUUGUCGUGGUUGUAAACUGAUUUCAUCCAUUUUCUGAGUGCAACUUCUUUCUACUAUUUCUUCUGUAAAAUAUAGUGUUUCUAACGUUCUUCGUUAGUAAGUUAACGCACUUUUAGUAAUUUUCAACCUAACAUUUGUAUGGGAGGUGGGCGUGGUUAUUCUCCGAUUUCAACUAUUUUCAUGGUGGUGGGGUACGUAAGGGAACCGACUACAGAAAGUUUGGUUUAUAUAGCUUUAUAUAUACAAAAAACCUAUUUGGGGACGGGACCAUGCCCACUUCCCAAAAAUUAUUAAAUCCAAAUAUGGCCCUUACUAGGACGAUCCUAUAUACCAAAUUUUACUUUUAUAACUUUAAUUAUGGCUUAGUAUGACACUUUAUGUAUAUUCGGUUUUCGCCAUUUGGUAGGCGUGGCAAUAAUUCCUUUUGCCCAUUUUCGAAAGCAACCCUCUCACGGUCCCAAGGAAUAUAUGUGCCAAGUUUCUCGGACGCACGGACAGACAGACAUUUGGAUUUUGACUCGUCUCGUCGCCCUGAUCAUUUUGAUAUACAUAACCCUAUAUCUAACUCGUUUAGUUUGACUUACAAACAACAGUUAUGUGAACAAAACUAUAAUACUCUCUUAGCAAUUUUUGUUGCGAGAGUAUAAAAAGUGUAGAAGUUCUACGGACAGGAAGUUGUACGAAAUAUUUAAAUUUUUAAUCUGGACGAGCUAAUAAAUAAUUUUAGAAAUACACAUAUGUUUUUAGAAAGUAAUAUCGAAGCAUUGAGCACCAGCUUAAUCGCGGCAAUUACUAAUUAUAUAAAAGUAGAAGCAGAGCAAUUACAAAUUACAACAAAAAAGGAUAUAUGUAUGUAAGUACCAGAUACCCGAUAGAGGUUGUCCUGCAUAUCACGUAUCAAGCUAUAAGGCAGACUAAGCUAUAGCUUUAUACUGUACAUAUCUAUAUUUUUGACAAUAUUAAAUGUCAAUUCAAUCUGUGGGAAAGGCAACAUUAAUUACAUACACUUUGUUAAGUGUACUUCAGCUCAUUGACUUAUGCAAAAAAAACCGUAUGUGUUAUGCAAACGUAGGAAUUAAGUCAAAAUUGCAAAAAUAGGUUGAAUAUUACAUAAGGGGACAUAUAGAGGAGCAUCGCGUGUUCAAAUCGAUAGCUUUCCAACUUUUAACAACAAUUCGUCUGGCAUCUUCGACAUAGACUUAAAUUUCACACUGUCUUUAGUCUGCGUGCACACAUUAACACCUAAUUAAAACACCAUUGAUGUGCAUACCACCACAUGUGAUUAAAAGGCUCUUUUCUACACCUCAACAGCGAAGAAAAUGAAUAAUAGGCUAGACGACAGUGUGGGCAAACAGACAGCUUAGCUACGUGCUCAAUCCAGGUGGGCAUUCAUGCAACCAAGUGUGAAACCUGCAGACAGCUAUCAGACGUACGAGUAAAUAAUUUCUUACACACAUAUGUAUGUAGUUAUCCAGACAUCUGCAUAUAUGAGUAGACUUAUGUAAGAGCAUUGAAGAGCUUUUAGCAUUUGUACUCUAUAAAACACAGUUGAGACAUAAAGUGCUUACAUUUUAGACAAGAAUAAUCACAUGAUGAAAUAUGCACGCAUGA